UACGUAGGUGGCAAGCGUUUGUCCGGAUUUAUUGGGUUUAAAGGGUGCGUAGGCGGUCUUUUAAGUCAGUGCUGAAAUACUCCAGCUUAACUGGAGGGGUGGCAUUGAUACUGGGAGACUUGAGUGUAGUCGAGGUAGGCGGAAUUGACGGUGUAGCGGUGAAAUGCGCAGAUAUCAGGAGGAACACCGGUGGCGAAGGCGCCACUCUGGGCCGGUACUGACGCUGAGGAGCGAAAGCGUGGGGAGCGAACAGG
rnacentral:rRNA from 1 species